rnacentral:rRNA from 1 species
GACAGAGGUGCCGAGCGUUACUCGGAAUUACUGGGCGUAAAGCGUGCGUAGGUGGUGAGUUAAGUCUGUCGUGAAAUCCCCGGGCUUAACCUGGGAAUGGCAUUCGGGACUGCAAGGCUGGAGUGCGGCAGAGGAGACUGGAAUUCCUGGUGUAGCAGUGAAAUGCGUAGAUAUCAGGAGGAACACCGAUGGCGAAGGCAGAUCUCUGGGCUGACACUGACGCUCAUGCACGAAAGCGUGGGGAGCAAACAGG